rnacentral:lncRNA from 1 species
GUAAACAUUCAGGCACAACCUCAUAUACAUGCUUAACAUCUGCAUGCACAUACACACACACGCACUCACACACACACACCACAUAACUACGACAACUGAAGGAAUCGCUUAUAGAGACGCCUUCGUGAGAAUCAUCAUUUAGAUCUGAAAACCUGAGCUCUCUGAGGUUUACAACAUUUCUGAUAAGGAUCUCUGUUGCUCUGUGGAUGGCUGGGCAGAGGGCCAAGCCAGUCUGUGUUGGAAUAAGAAUACCGAACCACAGGGUAUGUAUUGGGCCCAGGACUACCGCUGAAGGCAACAUGGGAACAGGAAUGGUUAAAUGUGACCCACUGUCAUUUUCCAGCCCAGGCUGGGCUUUGAUGGCCCCAACCAUCCACUGCCUCUCAAAACAAAUCAAGAAAUGCAAGAUCUACACAUAA